rnacentral:rRNA from 1 species
GUGGGUAGUUUGACUGGGGCGGUCUCCUCCCAAAGAGUAACGGAGGAGCACGAAGGUUGGCUAAUCCUGGUCGGACAUCAGGAGGUUAGUGCAAUGGCAUAAGCCAGCUUGACUGCGAGCGUGACGGCGCGAGCAGGUGCGAAAGCAGGUCAUAGUGAUCCGGUGGUUCUGAAUGGAAGGGCCAUCGCUCAACGGAUAAAAGGUACUCCGGGGAUAACAGGCUGAUACCGCCCAAGAGUUCAUAUCGACGGCGGUGUUUGGCACCUCGAUGUCGGCUCAUCACAUCCUGGGGCUGAAGUAGGUCCCAAGGGUAUGGCUGUUCGCCAUUUAAAGUGGUACGCGAGCUGGGUUUAGAACGUCGUGAGACAGUUCGGUCCCUAUCUGCCGUGGGCGCUGGAGAAUUGAGGGGGGCUGCUCCUAGUACGAGAGGACCGGAGUGGACGCAUCACUGGUGUUCGGGUUGUCAUGCCAAUGGCACUGCCCGGUAGCUAAAUGCGGAAGAGAUAAGUGCUGAAAGCAUCUAAGCACGAAACUUGCCCCGAGAUGAGUUCUCCCUGAGACUUUAAGUCUCCUGAAGGAACGUUGAAGACGACGACGUU